UCUUUGUCAGGGGUAUAAUUUGGGACUAAUUAGUUCUCAGCUCUCAGGCCUCACAAAGGAGCGUCAGCACCUGGUGGACUCUAUUUGCUGAAGCCCUUAUGAAAUGGGAACACGUUCCUCUUUCAUCUUAUUGCACAAAUAAUUAGAAUAACUUAGCCAGAGUCCCCCUGGGAUGCAGUUUGUGUUGAAAACACUUCCCUGCAGUGACUGGCUAUUUUGGCAGCCAGUACAGAGGAGCUGGAGGGGCUGAGACCUCUCUUGCCUGUGGACAGUGCCAGCCCUUCCUCUGUGUCCCUGUGGGCUCCAAUCCUUUCUAAUCCAAUCCCUCUAAUCCUUCCCUGUGUUUCAGAAUUGUGUCUCUCCCAGAGAUCAGCUGAAAAGAAGGGUGGCACAGGAUGUUUGUGAAUGCAGCAGCUCCUCUAAUGACAGCUCUGGGUGUGGCACAUGGUGCGUGCCCUGGCCUGGGGGACACGGGGGCCUCUCGCCUUUGUCAGACCCUUCAGCUCUGGGUGGUUCUGGGUCACCCCAAGAGCUCUGCACAACAGAGUGCUCAGUGCACUCACUUUGCUCUGGGGGACCUCAGCAUCUCUGAGGCCAGUGGAGUUCAACAGUAAAGGUAACACCACCUGAGUCAAGUGAUUCUGCACAUUGAAAGGUUGAAUCCCAUUUUUGUCCAUAGAGAGAAAGAUCUUUGAGAUCUCUCACUUAUUUUCAGUGUGACAUCUUGUCACAAACAGACGUGGAAUGUUUCACAUCUCUGGGAUUUCAACCAGUAGCAGAAUCCCCUCACACCCAUUCGAUUGCUGCCUUGGGUGAUAAUUUCCCUGCUUUUAAUGGAUGUGCACAUUAAGGUUGAGUUACAGUUGCUGUGGGAACUAUAACUUUGAGGUUUACGAUUCAAAAAGAAGAGAAAGAGUAUAUUUAUAUACUUUAUUUUGCUUAUGAAUCAACAUGUUAAUAUUGAUGCAAUGGGAGAAGAAAGAGAAACAAACUUCUAAACAGAAAGCGUAACAUCAAACACUGAUCUGUUUAUUUUCCCUUCUGCAAUGUUCCUCUAACAGGCAGAAUGCCCACAACAAAAAGGAACAAUUAUAAACUAGGAAGCACACGAAGUGGAAGAAAGAAAGCAACAGACAGCUGAGAGGUUAAAUGAAUUUGUUAAGAGAUAAAAUGUUUGCACUUACCAGUCAUAGGUCACCACAUGCCAGGAACCUCAGUGUAAAACCAGCCAAUAACUUGAGGCACUGAGAUUGGUGAGUCCAGGACUUACUGUGGGCAAUUCAAGUCACGCUGCUGCUGUUCAGGGGAGUUGUGGGGAUGCAGGGAAACAAAACAGACACUGAAAAGCACAUCAGGGAGACCUUAACUCUGUUUAUGGUGCCUCUCCCACUGCCCUGGGGGAGCUCACAGGUUUGUGAAUUCAAAGCAGAAAGUUUCAUUCCUCACAGGCUCAGAGGAGCUGGAACAUGUUUGUGGGAGGCUCAGGCAGAAGACUGCAUUACAUUCCCAUUUUCCAUGUCUCAGAAUGAGGAAUCUGGGCUUGGUCUCGUACUGGUGUUAAGUCAGGAGGAACUUUCUUCAAGUUAAUGGUGUUAGAUGGAAUAAAUCAGGAGUAAUGGGGAAGAACCAGGCUGUGCAGUGCACUACACAGUGAAACCAAUACUGUGUCCUAGUCACGGGCUGAUAUGAUGUAGAAUCUCGAGCACAUUCCGUGUACACCCGGCACCUUUCUAGCAUGGCUACUUCUGAUGGAGCCACAAAGUUAUCUUUUUUCAAUUUAUCUCUAAUUUUAAAAAAUACAAACCCUUCCCCCCUUACAGCCUGCAGCUACUCCUUCACUGGUCACGCUGCCUCCUGUGAUUUAAUUUGUUAUUGAUUUUCACUGAGGCGGUGUCCGUAACGGAAGCGAAGCAACCCAAAGCACAAAUCACUUAUGAAAAUUGUGACCAGCCUCUUAUCAGCCUGCAAAGAUGAUGAUUAAAAAUGACUGGAAAGGCAAAAUCAAUCAGGCCCCUUCAGAAAGUUGUUUGGGUACACAAAAACAAAAAGCAAAGAUUAGCAAUAUUAAAAUCAGAUUCUGUCAAAUGCUUCAGCUGGUCUCCCAUGUGACAGAAAUAGCUUUGUUUCCCAAACACAGAGCAGGGAUUUAUUUCCUCAGCAGACAGUGAUGGCUGAGGAGGAGUCACUCCAGUGUGUCAGAUAAAUAACGUGUGUUUCCAACAUUAUUUUGCACUCCAAAGCUCACAAAAGUCCUGACGGCCUUUGGGACAAUAAAUCCAGAGAGCGGGUUAUGGAUUUAACAUUUUAGCUCCUGGAUGGCUGCUGUGGGAGAGAUGUCAGCUGUUCACUCUGGUGCAUCAGUGGGUACCCAAACAUGUCCCUGCUCGGCUGGGCUCAGACCCUGCUGUGCUGGAGCCUCUCAGAACUCUGCGUGAAGCUCAGUUACAGCCCUGGGCCUCAUCCCAGCACAGCUCCUGCUGGGGUCAAGCAUGGUCCCAGUGGGGUAUUCCCAGGGUUGCUAUUUUCCCAAGGGCACAGCACGUGGAUAUUGAUAGAUGUAACCUCAGAGAAACCUUGUGAAGCAGUGGAAUUAGCACACACAUGGGCAUCUGACUCGUGCCAGCAUUUAGUGACUCACCUGGUGCAGCCCAGUGUCUCACUCAGAACUUACUGUCAAGGUCCUCCGUGGGGAUAAACUGGUCUAAAUCCACCAGAUUCACUGGAAACGCACUGGCCACACUGAUCUACACCAUGAAAGCUGGGAACUGUGCUCUGAGAUGGAGCUGGGGGGUUGCUGACUGUGAGAAAUAUCCCUCAUCCAGCUCCUGUGGAUGUGCUGUGGUCUGACAGAGCGGGUGACUGCAGGGGGAGACGUCCAGCGAGAUCUCUGCAUCUCCUCCUGUAAGGAAUGAGCGAGUUUUGGGCAGGCCUCUUCUGUUCUUCCCUGUCAAAUGUGCUAGUUCUGCUUUUCCAUUACAUCAGUUAUGGGCACUGCAAAUAUUUGAUUUCAGGGAAACGUGAAAGGAAAGGAAACUACUCCCCUCUGGCUCAGGGUGGGCCGGAUGCGAGUCGGAGUAAAGGAGAUGGGCCGAGAGCUGGGGAAGCAGCUCUCCUGGUUUGUGGAUGAAAUUCCAUGAAUAUGUACAAGACUUUAAUUGGCUCCCACACAUCACUGAGGUGCCUGAAGGCCCAGGCAUCCUGGCUAAUUGUUGUAGACAAUUAAUAACUCAGAUUCUACUAAUUCCAUAUCGCACUGUGCAGCUCAUUACUGGAGCAGAGAGGGAGAUUGUCUGCAAAAGCUGCUGGGAGAGAGGGAGGGUUGGGGGACCCAGGCACAGGGGCAGAGAAGGUCACAACUGGGCUGGCACCACUCUUGGCUCAAACAGCAGAAAGUCACAGCCACAGCAGGGGACAGUGACAGUCUGUCCAUCAGCCUUUGGCUGAGCUCUGGAGUCACAGCGAGGGAGAGCUCUCACCCUGGAAACAGGAGCAGGAUAAUGAGUCUGUGGGUUCAGUAAAGCACACAGCAGACCAAAACACACCCUUGUCCUGUGACCCAGCUUACACAGAGACUUUUCUUGUGGUGGCCCGAAUCCCAUAAGUCAAAAACAUAAUUUGACUCCAUCGUGUCCCACCCACAGGGCGACUGCUGGUGAUGGGAUGAGGCUUCCUGAAGCUUUCAUGAUAACCUGCCACUAAACACAAGUCUCCUUGAGAGGAAACACCAGGAGUUGCAAGAAGGGGAUGUGGCAGCUACCCAGUUUGCUCUGUGUUGCAGGGCCUGGAAUAGAUGUGGACUAUAUGUGGCAGGACUCGUGCUGGCAUCCACCAGGCCUCCCUGAGUGCUCUGGGAACGCUGGAAUCUCUCUCGAGUCAGAUUGGUGUAUAAGUACUCUGAGCAGUGAUGGACCCUGGUUUUCAGAGCCUAAUAAACCUCACUUUUGCUGGGUUUAAUGCACUAGUCACAGCAGCAUCCAUCAAAAGUGAACAACACCUGGCAGAGUGCAGCUCCCUGGUGCUUGAGUGCCCAGGAAAUGGAUGGUGCUCCAAGCCAAGACUUUGCAGGGCUACAUUACAUCUGGAAGGAACUGAUUUUUUAUGGAGUUCCAACAAACUCCUCCAUUAGCUACCUCUCCCUUCCCUUUCCUCCAGCUUUCCUAUACUUGGGCUUGCUGGGACUGUAACUGCACAACUUCAGGGACAUCUGUCUCUGACUCCUAUUUUAUCUUCCUCCUUUUUCUUUCUAUUAGUAUUUUUCCUUCCUAAGCAAGUUUCUUCUCUGCAGCUUUUCUAUCCAUUUUGCAGAAGUUCUAUAGCACUGAUUAUAGGUACCAGUCCUGUGCUGUAGUUUUCAUCUUCUGUGGUACCAUUUUUAAUUCCCUCAGCUGUAUCCUUUACACUUUUCCUCUUUUGACUGUUCUCAUUCCUGUACCCACAUAUUCCCCUGCUUUUUUUCUUUCCUUCCUGUUCUUUUGGACAGCCUGAUCAUGGCAGAAGAGGUUCUGCAAGACCACAGUCAGUCCUGUCUCUGUGGGCUGCAAGGGGCUCAGUGUCCAAUACCUGAUGCCUGGGCUUGGAUUACAAGGGCGAUCCUGGAAGAGAUCCUGGAUGCCCUGCUUUGGAUCAGAGUCAUGUGAGCUACACUGGAUGGUUAUAGACAUCCAAAUAACUGCAAUUCUAAAAGAUAACUGCAGCAAGAAAAACGGGAAAUAAUUAUAAAUGAAUGAAUGUAACAGACUGCUGAUGGGCACUGGUGGAACUUUAAUCUCUGGGCCUUAUUAAAGUAAACACAUCCUUGCCACCCACUAGCUCUGGCCAUUCUCACUGCUUUGCCAUCUGCUGCAGGAUGGAUGGAUGAACAAAAUUUCCAUAAUUUGCAGAAUGUCCUCAUGCAAAGCGCUGUAGGGAUUCUGCUGGUAGUUUCUGGUCUUAUGGUUCUGAGGAGACAAAGCUGGACAUUCACUAUGUGGAGGAGGCCAAACCACUUCCCGUGUAACUUCUUCUCUUUGCAGUUUUGGAACUUGCAGAAUAUUUCCAGAAUUUUGUGAAAAUCUCCUCAUUUUUCCCCAGGGACAAUGAAUUUCCAAAACAUCCCAUGGACUGCAACUUCAACAAAACAAUUCUCUGCCAGCACCUGAGGCAGUCAGGGAAGCAAAACAAACAAGUAAAACCUAAGCCACACACACUCCUUGAGCGUAAUGCAAAUAAAUCACGGAAGUAUUAAGUUCAGUUCUAAAUCUCUCUCUCCAUCUUCCUGUCUUUCAGGCUGUCUGUUUCUUGCCUAAGAAUAUUUUAUCAAUCUGCCAAUCUGGGUUUAUGUGCAGUUUAGCUUUUUCCUAUGGUUUGUGUGUCUGCUUCCCUGCUUAUGCUUCUUACUUUACCUUUCUACCAGUAACACUGUGCUGGUAAACAGGGGCACACCACCAAAAGCAACUGCAAAAGAUACUUUUCCAGCCCCACCUUUUCUCCAUUUUGGGGGCUCUUUUGCAGUGAUGGUUCUAGUUCUCAGCUACAGCUGCACUGGUCCCCACUUCCACACUGGGGGCAGCACAGCUGGGUCUGUCCCUACACACCCAUGGCUGCAUUCCACAGCCUUCCAGUGGGACACAAACCCACUGACUGUGGCAUGAAGGGCUCUGGUGAAUGAUGUGGAGCCACCACAACAGGCAGAGCUGGCCUGUCAGAGCCUGAAGCACCUGCUUUGCAAAAGGCAACCCCAUCUCCUGCCUGCCUGGGCUGCUCAGACACACACGGGGCCCCUUCUCGUGCUCCCUCAGAGAUAACCAGCCCAGCUGUUUGGCUUCCUCACCGAGGCAGAUCAGCCUUUCUCCCACAUCAGCAGUUCAAGCAUCAUGUUCAGACAGAAAUUUCUGCACAGGGCAAAAUACAAAGCUUGCCUGAGAGGAGAUGGAGGGUUUCAAUUACGCUCCGUUUGCUCAGGGUAUGAAAACAGCACAGGCUUUUAUUCUGUUUCAUCAUCUAAGGCAGGAUGCUUGUCUUGGCUCGGUGGAAGGACCCUGAGAUGAAAGGCACACUUAGCUGCUUAGCUCCCCAGUAGAGAGCUGCUGCUGAGAUACCUCUGUGCGUGCUGGUUUAGAGGGGGGACAAAAGAUUAAUUUGCCAAGCAGUACCAUAUAGAACUCCCUGCCACGGGCUGUUUGAAUAGACAGGUAAUAAUGAGUCAUAUGCUCCACUGCUUGGAACUGGCCAACCUUUCUGAGGUCAAAAUGGGACAGGAUUGAUUUAUGGCACCAAUGAAUUUCCUUCGUAAUUUCCCCCCACAGUUAAUUUUUUUCCACAGUGGUAACAUUAACAGGAAAAAUACCUGAUAUAAAUGUGUGGAAUUUGAAUGACAUCUUCUCUUGCAUUAAUCAUUAGGCUGGAAUGUGCCCUGAGUUUGCUGUGUGCACUCUGGAACAUUUCCCAUGUAUUGUUCAGGGCAAUCUACACCAAGAGAGGAGGAUUUGAUUUCAGAUUUGCUCGCAAGGACUUUCUGACCUAGAUCCUUCCUAGGUAUUUUCUGGUUUAUAGGAAUUCUUUGCUCUCUGGUAAUUUUCUGACCCAGACUCACUUCUACAAGCUCUCCUUGUUCUCUAACGAGAGAAGCUGAAGAGAUGGGUAACGUUUCCUUUGUUUCCAAAGUGGUAGUGGGUGUGCACCUUUCCUUCAGUGUGUGAAUGGGUUAGUCUGACUUCUUGUCCUUCUCCUUUUUUUCCUAAUUCUCAUUCUGUUCUGCCUUCCUGGAGCAGGCAUUUCUCCCCCAUGACUCUCAGAAGCACUUUUCUACUGCCACUACCAAUGUGCAAAACUUUCUGAUCAUCCCCACUGCACAGCUGGUGGAAAAGGAGUCAGAAAUGAGGCGUUGCUUAAGUAUAUUUUAAUUACUUCAAAAAGGAAUAUCUUAAACCAUAAAUAUUUCAGCUUAAACUAAUGUAUUUUGGUUCCAGUCAGUGCCUCUUAAAGAUUUGUUUCCAGUGAAGAGCUGAAAUGUUCUGCUGGUACAGUAGAGUGUUUUUUGAGAAGCUCUUUAUUCCUAUUUACAUAUCUGGAAAUAAAUGGCCAAGUAUGAAAAGCCUUGAGUACUCACCGAUUUUCCUGCAUGUAAUGGGAGCUUCAGGUCUGACGCUUAGGGGUUUAAACAUAGAUUUUGGCAUCUGGAUUUGAACUUCUUGGCUUUUUAUGACUGGAAUGCCCUGACUUUUCCCCAGUGCGACUGCUUCUCCUUGUGGUGCGUUCCUCCUUUGGGAUCUUGCCUUCAUCAGAGAAAUAAUUUCUGAAAUGCAUCAGAAGGCUCUGAGUGAUUUUUGUCUGCGACACACAGCAACUGAGAGGACCUGAGACUUCUGCUACAUGAAGGUCAGGCAGCUGUUGGGGCGUUUCUGCCAGUGAAAAUGCAGUUGAAGAGCUCAGUUAACAGCUCUGACUCCAUGGUGUUGAGGGGGAGCUCAGGGAACUGGUAAUGGAAUAUGGCACUCUUUGCCUCUGCUUUACCAGUUAAUAUUCUCUCUGGUGGGUGAUAAGUGAAGGCUACUGCUGGCUGACUGUGAUUUUUGGCCUCCUUGACAUGACCUUGUGGAGUGAACUUAGUUUCUAAAUGCCAGAUUCUGCAGCCUUCCUUCAGUGCUGUACAUGGGGAUGAGCUGGGAGGAGGGAUGUGCAGGCUCUGGGUGGCAGGGGACAGCUUUGAAAAGUGAUUUAGAAAUCACCAAUCAACCUUUCUGAGUUUACCAGCUCUGGGGGCUGAGUGUGGGGAAGGCAAAUGAUAAGAAGAGGCAACAGUUGACAAACAAAUAGCAGCUCAAACACCUCCCACCACCUGUGUGGUGGAGCAGAGGGAGCAGAGGGCUAGAGGAAAGACCAGGUGGAGGUAAUCAGAGUCAUUCAAGAUCCCAAAGUGAACCCUGGAGCUCCAGGAAUAGAGGAACAGAGGUGUCCUCCAGACUGUGAGGUGCCUCAAACUGUCCCCCCUCAAUAGACUGUUACUGUUUAUGUUUCUACUAUCAAUAAUUUGAAGAAAAUCUAUCUAUACUAAAAAAAUCACUUAUUCUGCCACCCCUUUCAUGUUCAACUCUACUAUGAGCUGUGUAGUAGAGUCUGUUUGGGGACAGCUCUUUAGUUGGAGGGCAGGGAAAAUGGUAUUAGAUGCACUACAGGUGGAGGUGAAUCAGAAGAGUUGAACAGUUGCAGAGGGGUUUCUACAGAUGCUGGGGCUCAGUGGGGGGACCAGCUCUGCAGAAAGACACAAGGGAGACACAAGGGAGAUACAAGGCCAAAGAUGAACUCUGGAAUAGGAACAGGAAAAAGAGUUUGAAGGGUUGAGCAGUAUCUGCCACAGGAAGACCAUUAAGAGCAAGGCAACACUAUCCUGGUUCAUCGAUCCCUGCAGGAAAACAGCUGCUGUAUUAGUUCUGCUACCUUCCACCUCAGAGUGGCCUGUAAUGUGCAGUCUCACCAGGAGGCACAGAAAUGGCCUCAUCUCUCUCCCCUCCCCAUGUCCUGUGAUGAGAACACUGAUGUGGAGGAAGGAAUGUCUCGUUCAAGGUCGCACAGUGAGUUAGUGGCAGAACGAGCUGGGUACAAGCCUCAGGGCUUCCCGAGUCCCUGCCCUGCAUCCACUGUGCAUUCACUGGCAUGAGGCAGCUCUGCAAAUCCCACAUUCAUUACAAUACAAUAAAGCUCUGCUGCAUGGGUCUGUUGGGGGUUUUUUGUUGGUUUUUUUUUUCCACAAUGUCUCUCUCAAAAACCCAAGACUGAUUUGCAUUUUAAAACCACCAGUUACAGCUCAGGAAAACGCGAUUCAGUAGUUCCCGGAGCUCAGGAGUAGGGAUGCUCUCUCAGUUUUUCCCUCCCAGUUCCUUUGCCUGAAAUAUAUUUUUGUCCAAAUUGCACAAUACUUACUGCUAAUGUUUAUGCCAUGAAUAUUCAUCACAUCCUGGGGCUCCAAGACUCCAGUGGGAAGGCAAGCACAGGAGGCACAGCAGCCCUGAUCCUCCUACACUCCAUACACACAGGGUAGAGGCAUCGGGGUGAGAAGGCUUGUUUGGUUAGGGUGUGAGCUGUGGGAUACUAAUGCAGUCUGCAAGCCUUUGGGGAAUGCUGGUGAAACUCCAUUAAACAGUGGAGUGGAGGCCUUUUGAACAAACAGCUUCUAUAAAACCAUUAGCUUCCCUUAAUUGCAGAGAAAAGGCCUCACAUGCAGCGGGGGGUUAGAACUUCAGAACACUUUCUGUCUCUCUUUACAUCUGUUUCUUCUUCUCUGGCAAUCUGCAGACUGACCUUCCUUUUCCAGAGAGCCUCAGGACUGGGGAAACUCUUCCUGCCCACAAAACUGUGGGGUUUUGCCUGUCAGCAGUGGUGAUUUAGGUUUCCACAUGUGAAUUUAGGCAGAAGAGCUUUCGUGUCCUGUGCCCUGUGCCCGAGCAGGGGCAGCUGCCCACAGCAGGGCUGGGACACGCUUCCCUUUUCCUGAUGUGGCUGGAGGCUCCCGGGCUCACUGCUGUUCAGAUGGUGCCAUCUGGCUCUCACAAAAUAUAUGAGAAAUGUUAUCCAAUAAAAGAGGGGGCUGGCUGGCUGUGUGCCUUCACCUCUUGCUCUUUGGGGAAGCGAUUGUUUCUGCAUCUGGGAAAUGUUUAACAUAAUUUUUGAGUACUAGUGUUGCCUGAGUAAGGAAUAAUAGGCUGGCAAUUUGAAUUCAGGCCUGAAUCAGUGGUAACUAGAAGCUAUUUUGCUUGGUCAGGGCAGGGCUGAGGUUUAUAAACACACAACACAUAGAAAUAGCUUGUGAUAUGGCUCUGUUAGUUUUAUGGACAGAUAGGAAAUAUCCCUUUCCAUGCUGUUCUGUCAAGCAGGAUGUUUGGAUUAGGAAAGAUAAGGAGAAAAGGUCUCAGUUUUCUGACAGGAAGACACUAGGAAAAAAGAGCACAACUUCAAAAAGGCUGAGGGAAGUUUCUCUACAGAUAAUUUUGUCCCCACUCCCCAUUCUUUUAAUAUGAAAAUAUACUUUAGCUGCAGCUCAGCAUCCUAUAGGGAUUGCCCCUGGGAGCUGAGGGGUGUUGGAUGUACCUGCAGAUUCUCCUGGGACACUUUGCUGGCAGCUGAUAAAAGAGAACCUCUCUGGCCUUGGGGGCUAUUGCCCUUUCUUCCUGGGUUUCUCAAUUAUUUUCUCUCUGCUUUAUUAAGCUUACUGUUGUGUUCAGCCUUCCUUCGAGCCCUGGCUGAGAUCAGGCCCACAGACACAGGUCCUUGGCCCUUUUCCUUGCACCCACAGUCACUCAUGGACAGCAUCACCCUUCAAUCCAGACUCUUCUAACGCCAAGCACAGACUCAUAUCCAUGUACUCAAAUCCUGGUAGCCCUGUGUGUGCUCCAGGGCUGUGCUGACAGACUCUGCAUGUGCUCAUCCAGACACAUUCACAUGGAGGCAUUUCUCCACCCCAAGCCAUGGUGUUUGACAGGAGCUCAGUGCUCAGCUCUUGCCCAGCCCUCUCUGUGGCUGGCUGGGACAAACUCAAAAGCCUUUCGGGCAAUCAGGCAAUAACAGACCUUGUGGAAGCUGAAAGUCUCCCAGACAAAAUUUACAAGGCCUAAGAGAGCCUUCCUGGCAUAAUUUAACACUUUAGUAAUGAGCAUGUGGACAGGAAGGAUUGCUUGGGUAGUUUUAUUCUGCAUAGAUGAGCAGUCAGAAUUUCAAAGAGGGGCCAUAAAUACAAGAGAGCGGAAUGGCCGACGGAGCCUGGGUUUGGUGUGGAAGGCAGUCCUGCUGAGGCUGUGAGGACAUGAAUAAAGGGGAAAGAGUUUUCAUUCAGCUUCCCAGCUCCAAAAGGCAUCCUUUAGCCAGGAAUGGCUUUAGGGAGAGCAGCAAUCCUUUUCCAGCCUGCCUGUGACUGUGCCUCAGUGCCUGUGGCCCGGCAUUUGUGGAUUUGCAGCUGCGCCCCGAGGCUGCAGUACAGUGCUGAUGUCUGUUGGUGUCACACGUGUGUCUGUACCUGUGUGGCUGAGGACAGCAGUGUGCACCCCUCAGCCUCUGUGCUGUUUGCCUGGGCACGUGCACUGCCGAUAAAAGCCAGCAAUAAUGCUAAUUCCUUGUGGAUGCAUUUGCAUUGCUGGUGGAGUCUGCAGUAACACGCUGAAACCUCUGUGUACAGGUCUGUGCAAGUAAUACAGGUACACCUGGAUACAGUUUGUGUUUAUGUGCUGCUCAUACAGACAGUUCUAACUUGUAUCUGAGUAAACAUGCUCAGUGUUGAUGAUUUAAACUAGUAAUGAACUAUGUCUUCCUUUUGGCAGCACAUGCUGUGUGGUUGCACACUUCUGUGAGGCCUCAGGGAGGGAAGUCAUAGCAGUCAGAGGCUGAUGCUCUCUCAGCACAGAGGGGCAGGGAAGGAAAUGUUAAGCCAGAAUGAAAGGAGACUGAAAUCAUAGAAGUUGCCAUGGAGCAGUUACCCCUUCCCAUCCAGAGACCUCCAUCACUGGCAGGAGUGGUGAAAGCCGGUGGAAUGCAGCUUUACUUCAGGAGCCUCAUUAAAUUUGCAUUCCUUGGAGCCCCACAAGGAAGAUGAUGGUCUGGUUUUGUCUGCCUGGCUUCCUGUUCUCUUUGAGUGAUGCAUCAGAGAGAGCUGCUGUGCCUUUGACACAGUUGCCUGCCUACAGACACUCUCAGGUGAUGGACCUGUUUUAUUGUGCUUUCUCUUUCUUAUUGACUUGACAAAUCUAUCUGAAAACUGGGAUGAGGGAUAUUUUUCGUAAGCAAUAACCAUCAACAGUCAAAUAAACGAGUAUAGGGCAAAGAACGUAGCUUAGGCUACAUUAACUCCAUAAUGCAGCCUGAUUAAAAGCCAUUCCCACCAGGUAGUUGUUUAGCAACAAUCCUGCUCUUGCAGAAGUCCACAUCAUAGUAACUGGUCACCCUGGUAAAUAGGCCAAGGAUGGGGGGGAAUGUUUUCUCUUCCUGCCUCCAAAGCCAGAGUGAGUCACAGGAGAGCACACAAUAAAUGAAUGCAAGACCGUUGUAUCCAGCACACUAAUUAAGAGACCGUCUGUCAACACUAAAGCCCCUGUACUCAGGGAUGUCUUUAUCAGAGACAUCCUGAAAGCCCAGGCAAGGGCAAGGCAAGCUCGAUGACCAGCUGUGCAGAAUGCUUUGCUGCACGAGGGGCAAGCAUGAAUGUAUAAAAGAUUGUCUGUACCACCCUAAUUAACACGUCUUUCUACCUCCCAUUUAACGACUCCUACUUAAUUCAGGGGUUGUUGCCGCACACCUCUGCAACUGAACGCAUAGAGAUGUCUCCUGUACAGAGCACUUAUCUAGC